AUUGAACGCUGGCGGCAUGCUUUACACAUGCAAGUCGAACGGCAGCACGGGGGCAACCCUGGUGGCGAGUGGCGAACGGGUGAGUAAUGCAUCGGAACGUGUCCUGUAAUGGGGGAUAACCUGGCGAAAGCCAGGCUAAUACCGCAUACGAUCCUGAGGGAGAAAGCGGGGGAUCGCAAGACCUCGUGUUAUAGGAGCGGCCGAUGUCGGAUUAGCUAGUUGGUGGGGUAAAGGCCUACCAAGGCGACGAUCCGUAGCGGGUCUGAGAGGACGGCCCGCCACACUGGGACUGAGACACGGCCCAGACUCCUACGGGAGGCAGCAGUGGGGAAUUUUGGACAAUGGGGGCAACCCUGAUCCAGCCAUGCCGCGUGAGUGAAGAAGGCCUUCGGGUUGUAAAGCUCUUUCGGCCGGGAAGAAAGUCGCGCCAUGCUAAUAGCCUGGUGCUGGAUGACGGUACCGGAAGAAGAAGCACCGGCUAACUACGUGCCAGCAGCCGCGGUAAUACGUAGGGUGCGAGCGUUAAUCGGAAUUACUGGGCGUAAAGCGUGCGCAGGCGGCUCUAUAAGACAGAUGUGAAAUCCCCGGGCUUAACCUGGGAACUGCGUUUGUGACUGUAGGGCUUGAGUGCGGCAGAGGGGGGUGGAAUUCCACGUGUAGCAGUGAAAUGCGUAGAGAUGUGGAGGAACACCGAUGGCGAAGGCAGCCCCCUGGGUCGACACUGACGCUCAUGCUCGAAAGCGUGGGGAGCAAACAGGAUUAGAUAUCCUGGUAGUCCACGCCCUAAACGAUGCGAACUAGGUGUUGGGGA
rnacentral:rRNA from 1 species